CAUGACUCACACUCUAAUAUGGAUAAACUAGACAAACUAGGUACCAUCUUCUGAAGCUUGGAUAAGCUUGGAUGUCCUAAACGUCUGUGAAUUAGGUACGGAAGAUCUGUAACUAGACAUGCCUUGGGGAUUUUAGCGAGGUAAGGUAGUAAAGGCCUUCAGAUUCAAGUCUUGUUCCAAUCGUCUGCCCCGUACUGCGGUCCUGCAUAAUAAAGGAAUCAUCAAUAACAAAUGCUAGAUUAAAAGGACAGUCAGGGACAUAGAGAACGGAAUCUAGAGUGACACGGGGUAGGGGAGUUGCUUGUCCAACUUCUUUUGCUUUGGUUUGAAACUCAUUGGCUAAAGUAACAGUAGGAAGAGACCAUUAAUACGCAAUAUUUGACAAAAGUGAUUUAUUACCAGAGACUUGAUCAGAAGCGGCUGAGUCCAUAACCCAUUGUCCAAGAGUACUAGACUGGGAUACAAGAACAGAUGAGUCAAGUGUAUGUGAUGAGCUCACUAGGUGACUUGGUGCUGCAGCAAGGCAAAGUAAUCGAGAGAAUAGUUCAUCAAGCGGGGACAGCCGGACUAGCCAAAAUCUGGUCACGUACUGAAUCAAUGUCAUCAGGGAGUCCAGCUAGUGUAAGAACUAGAAACAUCUUCUGUAGUGAAACUGGCAUCAGCGUCUCAAAUUCUUCCAUGACUGCCUGUACUUGUCCCAAGUAAGUAGACAUAUCUAAUUCCUGUUUCUUCAAGCUUGUCAUUCGCGAUAUUACAUCAUAGAAACGAGACAUGUCAUUACUGUAUAAAUUACGAGCCUUUUCCCAAACUAAAUAACAUGUCUGGAAUGGACGAAACAAGGGCAUCAACUUGGAAUCAACAAAUCGCAUUUUCCCACUGUGUUUUGGCCUUUUCAUCACCUUCGAUAGCCCUUUUCACUACAACUCGACAGACGAAGCCCAAGCUAGGUAGUUUGAACCUCCCAUUAAAGGUUUUGAGGNNNNNNNNNNNNNNNNNNNNNNNNNNNNNNNNNNNNNNNNNNNNNNNNNNNUUUUAAAGGUUCUGAGGUAAUCAUAACACCGGAACUGCUAGAACCCGAGUUUCUAGACCCGAAAGCAUCGAGUCUCAAAGACAUCGUUGGAUUAUCACCAAAUAAUCAGAAAGAAUCAACUGAAAACUCGCUGAAACAUAUGAAGGAAACAAUGUAGCUGCCGGGAAAUUACUGUAGUUACAGGAGAAAAUUCAAGGUUGUCGGAAUUGAAAAAUAACAUUAUGGGUAGGCUCGGAAUUUGAGGGCGAUCAAACUGUCCUGAAGAAAUUUUUGAAAUUCUGGCCGGAAGGUGGCUCACACGUCCGCGUGUGGGACAGACGCGCCACCGUCGGCACAACUCCGGCAGGCGCAUGGGGGCCUCUUUUCCGGUGGUUUUUUUUGGGGUUGGUCGGAUUUCUCUUCCGAACCUUGUGGUGGUCUCGGAUUUUGCACAAUCCUAAUAAUUAGUGACUUUGACGCGAUUAGCCACUUAGGUCACCUGAAAAUUGCACGAUGACUUAGUUAUUCCUUCCCGGAUGUUGUUGGAAUGACGCACAACGAUGAAUUUCUCACGGUUGCUCUGAUACCAUGUGAG
rnacentral:lncRNA from 1 species